AUUGAACGCUGGCGGCAGGCCUAACACAUGCAAGUCGGACGGUAGCACAGAGGAGCUUGCUCCUCGGGUGACGAGUGGCGGACGGGUGAGUAAUGUCUGGGAAACUGCCCGAUGGAGGGGGAUAACUACUGGAAACGGUAGCUAAUACCGCAUAACGUCGCAAGACCAAAGUGGGGGACCUUCGGGCCUCACACCAUCGGAUGUGCCCAGAUGGGAUUAGCUAGUAGGUGGGGUAAUGGCUCACCUAGGCGACGAUCCCUAGCUGGUCUGAGAGGAUGACCAGCCACACUGGAACUGAGACACGGUCCAGACUCCUACGGGAGGCAGCAGUGGGGAAUAUUGCACAAUGGGCGCAAGCCUGAUGCAGCCAUGCCGCGUGUGUGAAGAAGGCCUUCGGGUUGUAAAGUACUUUCAGCGGGGAGGAAGGCGGUGAAGUUAAUAACUUCACCGAUUGACGUUACCCGCAGAAGAAGCACCGGCUAACUCCGUGCCAGCCGCCGCAGUAA
rnacentral:rRNA from 1 species